rnacentral:misc_RNA from 1 species
UUGCAUUUUUUUUUUUUGUAAUCUGAUUAACUAACAAGUGAUUUAGGGCAUGUAAAGUAUUAACAAAUAGCAUUAGACGGUCUUGACGUUGGGACAAGGUUCUAAAAUAGCAUUAGAUCACCUUCCUGGCUGUCUCUCAUGAUUCCUCUCCUUUUAGAAUUAUAUUUUGCAAAUUCUUAAAUGGCGGAGAUGAAUUAGAGGAAAGUUGGGGGGUAGUAGUGAGAUGAGCGGGUAACAUAUUAUUGAAUUUUAUUUUAGGUACUGUAAACCUUCAUGGAAGCCAUUGAUCCAGUUUCAUCUCUGUGCAUUCCCAUUCAAAACUAAUCAGAUUUUGCAAGUUUCAUACACUAAAAAUUAAAAUUUGGAUUUGCCUGACGUGCAAAGUUCUAAAAUAGCAUUAGACUACUCUGAUAAAGUUUAUAUCUUUGUUCAUUAUGUUUU